rnacentral:lncRNA from 1 species
CUGCUGGUGGGAUGUGCGGCGGGUUAGGCUUUGGUUUGGGCUCCGGCUUGGGUUCAGGCUUUGGUUUUGGUUCAGGCUUAGGCUCCGGUUUGGGUUCUGGUUUCGGCUUGGGCUCGGGCUUUGGUUCAGGUUUAGGCUUAGGCUCAGGCUUAGGUAGUGGUUCGGGUUUUGGUUCCGGCUUCGGCUCAGGCUUAGGCUCGGGUUUUGGUUUGGGCUCGGGCUUAGGCUCUGGUUUGGGUAGUGGUUCUGGUUUUGGUUCUGGCUUGGGCUCGGGCUUAGGCUCUGGUUUGGGCAGUGGCUCUGGCUUUGGCUCUGGUUUUGGCAAUGGUUUGGGCUUUGGUUCCGGCUUGGGCUCAGGCUUAGGCUCUGGUUUUGGUAGUGGUUCAGGUUUUGGUUCCGGCUUGGGUUCAGGCUUAGGCUCGGGCUUUGGUUCCGGCUUGGGCUCAUGCUUAGGUUGCAGUGGUUCGGGUAUGGGUUCUGUGCUUGGGUUCAGGCUUAGUGCUCGGUGCUUUGGGUAUCGUGCUUGGGCUCAGGCUUAGGCUCCGGUAUCGGCAUCGGUUCGGGCUUUGGUUCUGGCUAGGGCUCAGGCUUAGGCUCAGGUUUUGGUUUUGGCAUGGGCUCAGGUUUUGGUUCAGGCUUAGGCUCCGGCUUAGGCUCAGGCUUAGGUUUUGGUUCUGGCUUGGGCUCCGGUUUUGGCAGUGGUUCAGGCUUGGGCUCAGGCUCGGGUUUUGGUUCAGGCUUAGGCUCAGGUUUUGGCUUUGGCUCAGGCUUUUUUGGCUUUGGCUUUGGUUCAGGCAUAGGCUUGGGCAUCGGUUCGGGUUUGGGCUUUGGCUCUGGCUUCGUUAUGGGUUUAGGUUGAGGCUCAGGUUUAGGUUCAG